AAAUUAAGGUUUAAUUUCACGCGUGUUUUCAAAGUUUCACAAAUUGUGAAAAUUUGAAAACACAAGUGAAAUUAAACCUUUAUUU